AUUCAUUUUACUUUUUAAAAACUAAUGGAAUCUUACAAAGUUCUAUUGUAUAGAGAGGUGAAGAAGAGUUUAGGACGUGUCAGAAAUCUAACGUAUAGCCAAAAUUGCAGACACAAGUCUGGUUGAAUCCAACCAAACCUUUUUGAAGUGCGACAGCUUUUUGAUAGACGUCAAACGUAUCACGAAAUUCGGUUAACCUAUUACACAAAAAGGUAAAUGGACCCCCU